UAGGGAAUCUUCGGCAAUGGACGAAAGUCUGACCGAGCAACGCCGCGUGAGUGAAGAAGGUUUUCGGAUCGUAAAACUCUGUUGUUAGAGAAGAACAAGGACGUUAGUAACUGAACGUCCCCUGACGGUAUCUAACCAGAAAGCGACGGCUAACUACGUGCCAGCAGCCGCGGUAAUACGUAGGUGGCAAGCGUUGUCCGGAUUUAUUGGGCGUAAAGCGAGCGCAGGCGGUUUCUUAAGUCUGAUGUGAAAGCCCCCGGCUCAACCGGGGAGGGUCAUUGGAAACUGGGAGACUUGAGUGCAGAAGAGGAGAGUGGAAUUCCGUGUGUAGCGGUGAAAUGCGUAGAUAUAUGGAGGAACACCAGUGGCGAAGGCGGCUCUCUGGUCUGUAACUGACGCUGAGGCUCGAAAGCGUGGGGAGCAAACAGG
rnacentral:rRNA from 1 species